rnacentral:snRNA from 1 species
ACGCUCUGGUUUCUCUUCAUUAUUCGAACUAAUCUUUCGCCUUUUACUAAAGAUUACCGAGGAGAGGAACAUUACAAUGAGCCUGUAAAUAAUUUUAAAACUUACACUAUUUAAAUAUAAU